rnacentral:rRNA from 1 species
AGCAUGCAAGUCGAGCGGACCGACGGGAGCUUGCUCCCUUAGGUCAGCGGCGGACGGGUGAGUAACACGUGGGUAACCUGCCUGUAAGACUGGGAUAACUCCGGGAAACCGGGGCUAAUACCGGAUGCUUGAUUGAACCGCAUGGUUCAAUCAUAAAAGGUGGCUUUUAGCUACCACUUGCAGAUGGACCCGCGGCGCAUUAGCUAGUUGGUGAGGUAACGGCUCACCAAGGCGACGAUGCGUAGCCGACCUGAGAGGGUGAUCGGCCACACUGGGACUGAGACACGGCCCAGACUCCUACGGGAGGCAGCAGUAGGGAAUCUUCCGCAAUGGACGAAAGUCUGACGGAGCAACGCCGCGUGAGUGAUGAAGGUUUUCGGAUCGUAAAACUCUGUUGUUAGGGAAGAACAAGUACCGUUCGAAUAGGGCGGCACCUUGACGGUACCUAACCAGAAAGCCACGGCUAACUACGUGCCAGCAGCCGCGGUAAUACGUAGGUGGCAAGCGUUGUCCGGAAUUAUUGGGCGUAAAGCGCGCGCAGGCGGUUUCUUAAGUCUGAUGUGAAAGCCCCCGGCUCAACCGGGGAGGGUCAUUGGAAACUGGGGAACUUGAGUGCAGAAGAGGAGAGUGGAAUUCCACGUGUAGCGGUGAAAUGCGUAGAGAUGUGGAGGAACACCAGUGGCGAAGGCGACUCUCUGGUCUGUAACUGACGCUGAGGCGCGAAAGCGUGAGGAGCGAACAGGAUUAGAUACCCUGGUAGUCCACGCCGUAAACGAUGAGUGCUAAGUGUUAGAGGGUUUCCGCCCUUUAGUGCUGCAGCAAACGCAUUAAGCACUCCGCCUGGGGAGUACGGUCGCAAGACUGAAACUCAAAGGAAUUGACGGGGGCCCGCACAAGCGGUGGAGCAUGUGGUUUAAUUCGAAGCAACGCGAAGGAUCCUUACCAGGUCUUGACAUCCUCUGACAACCCUAGAGAUAGGGGCUUCCCCUUCGGGGGCAGAAUGAACAGGUGGUGCAUGGUUGUCCUCCAGC